rnacentral:tRNA from 1 species
GCGGGCGGCGGCGAAAGCCGUAGCUGGUAUGAAAAUCCGUUGGGCUUAUGCCCGUGUGGGUUCGAUUCCCACCGCCCGCACCA